GCAAGUCGAGCGGACCGAAGGGAGCUUGCUCCUUUAGGUUAGCGGCGGACGGGUGAGUAACACGUGGGCAACCUGCCCUGCAGACUGGGAUAACUUCGGGAAACCGGAGCUAAUACCGGAUAACACCGAAAACCGCAUGGUUUUCGGUUGAAAGGCGGCUUUAGCUGUCACUGCAGGAUGGGCCCGCGGCGCAUUAGCUAGUUGGUGAGGUAAUGGCUCACCAAGGCGACGAUCCGUAACUGGUCUGAGAGGAUGAUCAGUCACACUGGAACUGAGACACGGUCCAGACUCCUACGGGAGGCAGCAGUGGGGAAUAUUGGACAAUGGGCGAAAGCCUGAUCCAGCCAUGCCGCGUGUGCGAAGAAGGUCUUCGGAUUGUAAAGCACUUUAAGUUGGGAGGAAGGGCAGUAAAUUAAUACUUUGCUGUUUUGACGUUACCGACAGAAUAAGCACCGGCUAACUCUGUGCCAGCAGCCGCGGUAAU
rnacentral:rRNA from 1 species